rnacentral:rRNA from 1 species
CCUACGGGUGGCUGCAGUGAGGAAUAUUGGUCAAUGGGCGCAAGUCUGAACCAGCCAAGCCGCGUGCAGGAUGACGGCUCUAUGGGUUGUAAACUGCUUUUGUACGAGGGUAAACUCCGAUACGUGUACCUGUUUGAAAGUAUCGUACGAAUAAGGAUCGGCUAACUCCGUGCCAGCAGCCGCGGUAAUACGGAGGAUCCGAGCGUCAUCCGGAUUUAUUGGGUUUAAAGGGUGCGUAGAUGGGUUGAUAAGUCAGAUGUGAAAUGUCGGGGCUCAACCCCGAAACUGCCAUUAAUACUGUUGGACUAGAGUAUAGUUGAGGUAGGCGGAAUGUAUGGUGUAGCGGUGAAAUGCUUAGAGAUCAUACAGAACACCGAUUGCGAAGGCAGCUUACCAAACUAUAUCUGACGUUGAGGCACGAAAGCGUGGGUAGCAAACAGGAUUAGAUACCCGGGUAGUC